rnacentral:rRNA from 1 species
UAAAUUUUGAUUUUUUAUUAGUAGGUAUUGCAUACCGUUUAAAGAAAAUUUUAUUUAAAUAAAAUAUAGAAUUAAAAGGUAGAAAUUUUUAUUAUUUUUAUUGUUUCAUAAUAAAAAUUAUAAAAUUUAGAGUUGAAAAGUCGACUUUUAAGAUAUCUGUUUAGUUGGUAGUUUAUUAGAAAUUUAUGUAAGAAAGAAAUUUUUAUAUAAAAAGUAAAAGUUGAAGUAUUUGUUUGGUUAGUUUUAUAACUGUUUAUAUUUAUUAGAAUUAAUGUUAAAAUUAAAAAAAAUUAUUAAAUUGUUAAUAAUUAAAUUGUUUUAAAAUAAGUAUUUAAGUUAAAUUAUUUAUUAUUAUAUAAUUUAAUGAAAUAACUAAAAAUUUAAUCAAAUGUUUUUUAAAGACUUAGACUUUUAUCUAAAGUUUGCUUCUGCCCAAUGAUUAUUAUUAAAUGGCACUCUUAGCGU